AAAUCUCCAUCAGUGGAUGAAUGGAUAAAGAAGAUGUGGUAAAUAUAUAGAGAACGGAGUAUUACUCGACAAUCGAACAGAAUGAAAUCUUCCCACUUGCAACUAUGUGGAUGGAACUACAGGGUUCAUGCUAAGCGAAA